AACCCAUGAUGAGAGCACCUUCUCAAAAUAUCCUUAAAUCUCUCCCAUGCAUCAUAUAGUGUCUCAAGCUCAAUUUGGGAAAGAUGAAGAGAUGUCGUCCCUCAACUU
rfam:Gossypium raimondii chromosome 5, whole genome shotgun sequence.